CCGAAACUGUGACCCCCCCGAAACUGCGACCUCCCCAAACCCACACCCUGGCCCCCUCGUUUUCUCCGUAGGUUCUUCCGCCUUCCGGGUGCUCGACACUGAAUUCUGAUGCUGAGCAGCCCCUGGACUGCUGCUGCAACCCCCCAGGACCCCCCAAAACUGGGGGGGGUUGCCACAAAACUGGGGGAUGACACCCAAGAUAAGGGGUAACCCCAGAACUACAGGAGGGCCCCCUGGACCGGUAACCACGGCCCCCCAAAAGACCCCCUGAGGAACCGCUGCUGGAUUUGGGGGGCAUCAUGUGGGACCCCCCACUGGAGGGGGGUUUGGGGUCCCCCUUAUUUUUUUGGGGAGUUCCCUUGAGUCUGGGGUUUCUUCCCCCCAAUUUACUUCGAAUUUUAUUUUUUCAAGGCAAUAUUAUAAAUAAGAGUCUAUAUGGGUCCCUCCCCUCAAGGGGCGGGGCUCAGAGGGGGUGGAGCACAGCAGGGUGGGGCCUAGCAGGGGCAGGGCCACCCUGGGAGCAGUUUUGGGGCGGGGGGCGGGGAGGGUGAGUUACAGUGCCCUUCUGUGCUUACUUUGAGGUUACUUACACUCAACUCCAGGGUUACCCUGUUGUUAUUUGGGGCCUCAGCAUCUCCCAGGAGGUUCCCCAGGGUGGAGGGGCUUCCUCUGAGGUCAGUCCCACUUCACUCCAGGGUUACCCCAGGGUUACUCAGGCCCAACUCUGACUUUACUCCAAGGCAGCUCAGGCCCAGCUCUGUGGCCGUAUCUGCCCUACUCCAGCCUUAUUUCAUGACUCCUCAGCCUCUCCUCGCUCACUGCUGUGGUGUUACUCAGUUUCUACUCUUGAUUACUCAGAUGCUACUCAGCUGGGGCUCCCCUCCCUCCCCUGGGUUGCUCGUGGAGAUUAUUACUCUGAGCCUUCUUGGCCCUUAUGUUGAGGCCUUUUCUCUGAGGAUACCCAAUGGAUACACCUCCUUCACUGCUUGCUGUGGUGUUACUUACCCUUUGCACUUCCAGGAUGCUCUCAACUAUCUUCUGGGCCUCACAGCUCUUACUCCAAGGUUACUCAGCCCUUGCUGUUGUUCAGUAUCUUGAAGUUACUUGAGGUUUGUUAUGUUGAAGUUACUCAGAUGCUACUAGAGGUCACGACUUACACUGAGAUUGCAAAAGUUACCCAGUACACUGGUGGGAGGGGAGUAGUCUUUACUCAAGAGUUGCUUAUCCCCUUACUCCGAGGUUCUUACGUACCCAGUGGCCACACAAUUGUUACUCUGUGGUCAAUCCUUGCUCUGAAAUUACUCAUCCCUUACUCCAAGAGCACUCAGCCUCCACUUCUCACUCCAGGGUUACCCAGUCCCCAUCCUUGGGCUAAUCAGGUGUUACUCCAGAGUUACUCACACUUGAUGCCGAGGUGACACUUCACUCUUGGGUUACUCACGUGCCCCCCACCCCGAGGCCGAGGCCGCACAAAAUGGACACUUUACAUUGAGGGCGAUUCGUGCCCUGGGGGAGAGAGAACUCAUUGGUUACUCACCCUUUACCUUGAGGUUACUCCCAUCUCACCCCCUCCCAUCCAGCCUCACUCAGGAUCGCCAAACCUCGCCCACCCGCCCCGUCCCUGUCUCUAUAGGUACCGUGUAUAUAUGUACAGGGGGGAGGAGCAGGGGGCGUGGCUUUUUAUAUGCAGUGGGAGGGGCCCGCCCCGCCCCCCCGCCCCCUAUAGCGCCCUGCGGGGCCGCGGGAGCCCCGUCGGAAGGGCCCUCGGACU
ensembl:lncRNA